rnacentral:tRNA from 1 species
GGUUGUGGCUCAAUGGUAGAGCGCUUGCCUAGCAUGUGUGAGGUAUUGGGUUCGAUCCCCGUCACCA